CGGUAACUACGCUGCGGGGUGUGCCUAGUACAUGCUCGUCGAGCGGACCGACGGGAGCUUGCUCCCUUAGGUCAGCGGCGGACGGGUGAGUAACACGUGGGUAACCUGCCUGUAAGACUGGGAUAACUCCGGGAAACCGGGGCUAAUACCGGAUGCUUGAUUGAACCGCAUGGUUCAAUCAUAAAAGGUGGCUUUUAGCUACCACUUACAGAUGGACCCGCGGCGCAUUAGCUAGUUGGUGAGGUAACGGCUCACCAAGGCGACGAUGCGUAGCCGACCUGAGAGGGUGAUCGGCCACACUGGGACUGAGACACGGCCCAAACUCUUACGGGAGGCAGCAGUAGGGAAUCUUCCGCAAUGGACGAAAGUCUGACGGAGCAACGCCCCGUGAGUGAUGAAGGUUUUCGGAUCGUAAAACUCUGUUGUUAGGGAAGAACAAGUACCGUUCGAAUAGGGGGGUACCUUGACGGUACCUAACCAGAAAGCCACGGCUAACUACGUGCCAGCAGCCGCGGUAAUACGUAGGUGGCAGGCGUUGUCCGAAAUUAUUGGGCUUAAAGCGCGCCCAGGCGGUUUCUUUAAUUCUGAUGUAAAACCCCCCGGCUCACCCGGGGAGGGUCCUUUGAAACUGGGGAACUUGAGUGGCAAAAAAAGAAAAUUGAAAUUCCACGUGUGGCGGUGAAUGCGUAAAAAUGGGAGAAACCCCGUUGGCACAGGGGAACUUCUGGUUUUUAAUCGGCCGUUAAGGCCCAAAAGC
rnacentral:rRNA from 1 species